CUGUGAUUCCCCUAGUAAUGGCGAAUGAAACGGGAAGAGCCCAUCGUCGAAUCGCAAGUCAUCUCGGCUUUGUGAAAUGUGACGUUUGGGAGGGUCGCCCACGGUUCAGACGAUCAGUCCAAGUCCAACUUGACAGUGGCCACAGCCCAUAGAGGGUGAUAGGCCCGUAAGGCGGUUGUCUGGCUGUGCUGACCUCUCUCUAGAGUCGGAUUGCUUGGGAGUGCAGUCCAAAGUGCGAGGUAAACUCCUCGUAAGGCUAAAUAUAACCCCGAGACCGAUAGCAAACAAGUACAGUGAUGGAAAAUUGAAAAGAACUUUGAAGAGAGAGUUAAGAGUACGUGAAACUGUGUGGUGGUAAACGGAGGCGUUCUCGAAGUGUCCGUGGGGGACUCAAGCUUGGUGGCGGGCAGCCGGCGCUCCUUGAUCAGCAAUGACUGGGUGUGUCGUGCAGGCUUGCCUCCCGGCCGCACUUUCCCCGCGGUUGACGGCAGGAACUGUUGGGACCGGACCAAAGGCCUGGGAUGAAGUUGCUUGCCCUCACGGGCUUGUAGCUCCCGGUGUCCUGGCUUCGGGCCCGACGGGGUAUGAGUGGACUUGUAUAGCAAGCGACAGCCUGUUGCGGUUCACAUCUCUCUGCCGAGUAGGUC
rnacentral:rRNA from 1 species